rnacentral:rRNA from 1 species
AUUGAACGCUGGCGGCAGGCCUAACACAUGCAAGUCGAACGAGUGGCGGACGGGUGAGUAAUGUCUGGGAAACUACCUGAUGGAGGGGGAUAACUACUGGAAACGGUAGCUAAUACCGCAUACUAUCAGAUGUGCCCAGAUGGGAUUAGCUAGUUGGUGGGGUAACGGCUAACCCAGGCGACGAUCCCUAGCUGGUCUGCGAGGAUGACCAGCCACACUGGAACUGAGACACGGUCCAUACUCCUACGGGAGGCAGCAGUGGGGAAUAUUGCACAAUGGGCGCAAUCCUGAUGCAGCCAUGCCGCGUGAAUGAAGAAGGCCUUCGGGUUGUAAAGUACUUUCGGCGGGGAGGCGUUACCCGCAGAAGAAGCACCGGCUAACUCCGUGCCAGCCGCCGCGGUAAUUC